GGGGGGGGGGCAAGCGUUGUUCGGGAAUUACUGGGGCGUAAAGGGCGCGCAGGCGGCCUGGCAAGUCCUACGUGAAAUCCCACAGCUCAACUGUGGAACUGCGUGGGAUACUGCCAGGCUUGAGUCCGGGAGAGGAGAGUGGAAUUCCCAGUGUAGCGGUGAAAUGCGUAGAUAUUGGGAGGAACACCGGUGGCGAAGGCGGCUCUCUGGACCGGUACUGACGCUGAGGCGCGAAAGCUAGGGGAGCAAACGGGAUUAGAUACCCCGGUAGUCCUAGCCGUAAACUUUGAGCACUUUGUGUGGCGGGUAUCGACCCCUGCCGUGCAGAAGCUAACGCAUUAAGUGCUCCGCCUGGGGAGUACGGUCGCAAAGGCUG
rnacentral:rRNA from 1 species